AGUGAACGCUGGCGGUAGGCCUAACACAUGCAAGUCGAACGGCAGCACAGUAAGAGCUUGCUCUUACGGGUGGCGAGUGGCGGACGGGUGAGGAAUACAUCGGAAUCUACUUUUUCGGGGGGGAUAACGUAGGGAAACUUACGCUAAUACCGCAUAAGACCUACGGGUGAAAGCAGGGGAUCUUCGGACCUUGCGCGAUUGAAUGAGCCGAUGUCGGAUUAGCUAGUUGGCGGGGUAAAGGCCCACCAAGGCGACGAUCCGUAGCUGGUCUGAGAGGAUGAUCAGCCACACUGGAACUGAGACACGGUCCAGACUCCUACGGGAGGCAGCAGUGGGGAAUAUUGGACAAUGGGCGCAAGCCUGAUCCAGCCAUACCGCGUGGGUGAAGAAGGCCUUCGGGUUGUAAAGCCCUUUUGUUGGGAAAGAACAGCAGCAGGUUAAUACCCCGCUGUUCUGACGGUACCCAAAGAAUAAGCACCGGCUAACUUCGUG
rnacentral:rRNA from 1 species